UGUUGUUCCAAAAUUAUCCACCCGCUAAAGCUAUCAUCGGCCUGCAGUCCGCAAAUAAUGCCGUAUACAAACUACACGUACGAAUCCAAGGCGAUGAUCGACUACAUAUUUUAUUCGUCCUCUAACAUGAUGUGCCUCGGAGUCUACGGCCCCAUUCCGCAAGAAUGGUUUGAUAUAUUUAGUGUAGUGGGCUGUCCGCACCCUUUCGUUCCAUCUGAUCAUUUUCCGGUGAUAGCGGCUUUUCAAAUGACUGCUUGAAUAGAUUUGAUGUAAGAGUUACUCGGUUGACUUUAUGGAUGGGAUAGUCAAGUACG